UAGAUCAUCACACGCACACAUCGCAUAUUUACGCCUCAUCUCUCAUCUCCGAUCACACGCACAUACUCAUCGCAUGUAUAUGAAUCCUGCACCAAGUCGCAAUCAAAUCCUGCAAUUAGAUCGCAUCUAACUAUGAUUACACGCACACAUUCAUAAUCGUUCCUCGAUUCAUCAUGUCCUGUUUAGCUUAAACCUUAGAUUCAUCGAUUCAUCCAUCAAUCUAAACCUAGAUUCAUCAAUACAUCUGUUAAUCAAGUCCUGAUAAUGAUUCUGCUUCUGGCGACCUCAAUCUAGGGCUUGUAUCAGGAACAAAUCUAAACGAUUCCGCUUUAUUAUGCUCUCUAGAUUCACGAGAAACAAGUUCAGUCUCGAGUCUAAAUCCAUCAUUGGCGUUGAAUUCGCCACUUGCAGCAUCAGUGUUGAUGAUAAAGUUGUUAAGGCUCAGAUUUGGGAUAUCAUUAUCCAAUAAAGUCAGCACCAUGGUGCAGUCAAUGGAAUUCUAGUUUAUGGUGUGAUCCAGAUGAACGGGAUCGCUAUUGAGGUGGAGUGUUAUCUUGUCGCUUGAUCGCUAUUGAGGUGGAGUGUUAUCUUGACACCAUAGAGAAAUGUUUUCGUUGUUUUAAAUCUUUGUAAGCUAGUUUUAUUAGGACACAUACUAGUGCUUGCUUAUCAUAUAAAAGGUUAUUAGGAGGUAGCAAGUGCUUUUUGAUGUUGA